AAUUCCUCUUGGUUCUUCUUCAAUUCCUCUUGUUUCUUUAUUUCCUCUUGUUUCUCAUUCAUAUAAUAAAAUUUCUCUUCCAUUCUUUGUAGCCAUCCUAUGAUCAUUACUCUGAAUUCUUGCUCGGGUAGGUUGCUUGCCUUUAACUCAGUUACUUCCUUUUCUGGUGAUUCCCUCUUUUCUUUCAUGUGCGGGUUAUUUCUUUGUCUCCUCAUGGUCUCUCUUUUCAGGAUGUCUGGUUAUGUGGAUGUCUCUCUGCUGCGUUGAUUUAAAGGUACAAAAUACAACACAACCAGGUACAACACAGAAGGCACUGAACAGAAUUUUGUUUGCAAUGUUAAUAACUUCCAAUAAAGGUAACCACUAGGGAAAAGCAAAUUAGGGAAUAGAAGAGAAAGAGGAAGAGUAAAAAGAGAAGAGGGCGUGAGCAAAAGAGAAAGAUAGGAAAAA